GGCAAAAGCUCAAAUUUGAAAUCUAGCACUUUCAGUGUUCGAGUUGUAAUUUGAAGAAGGUAACUUUGGAAUUGGCUCUUGUCUAUGUUCCUUGGAACAGGACGUCACAGAGGGUGAGAAUCCCGUGCGAUGAGAUGUCCAAUUCUAUGUAAAGUGCUUUCGAAGAGUCGAGUUGUUUGGGAAUGCAGCUCUAAGUGGGUGGUAAAUUCCAUCUAAAGCUAAAUAUUGGCGAGAGACCGAUAGCGAACAAGUACAGUGAUGGAAAGAUGAAAAGAACUUUGAAAAGAGAGUGAAAAAGUACGUGAAAUUGUUGAAAGGGAAGGGCUUGAGAUCAGACUUGGUAUUUUGUGUUCCUUAUCCUUCUUGGAUUAGGUUCCUCACAGCUUACCGGGCCAGCAUCGGUUUGGAUGGCAGGAUAAUGACAUUGGAAUGUAGCUUUGCUUCGGUGAAGUGUUAUAGACUUUGUUGAUACUGCCUAUCUAGACCGAGGACUGCGUCUUUGACUAGGAUGCUGGCGUAAUGAUCUUAAGCCGCCCGUCUUGAA
rnacentral:rRNA from 1 species